UACGAAGGGGGCUAGCGUUGCUCGGAAUCACUGGGCGUAAAGGGUGCGUAGGCGGGUCCUUAAGUCAGGGGUGAAAUCCUGGAGCUCAACUCCAGAACUGCCUUUGAUACUGAGGAUCUUGAGUUCGGGAGAGGUGAGUGGAACUGCGAGUGUAGAGGUGAAAUUCGUAGAUAUUCGCAAGAACACCAGUGGCGAAGGCGAUCACCUGGGGUUGUUCUGACGCUGAGGAGCGAAAGCUAGGGGAGCAAACGGG
rnacentral:rRNA from 1 species